rnacentral:lncRNA from 1 species
UCUAAUUAACCAUGCCUCCUUUCCUUCUUUUAUUAUGGAAAUCAGAAUAAAAUCAAAAAAUUUGGGCAGCAUAAGGAGUAGAUGGCUGGUGGUUGCUUAAAGCCUAUCCAAAGGAGGAGAGAUUCUAUAUCAAAUAGAAAGAAUGAUAUAUAGAAUAAAAUCAUGAAAAAAAUAUGACCUUAACCGUAGCCCUAGCCCUAUUUAAGGAUCCUAAAACACCAG